rnacentral:rRNA from 1 species
CAGUCGCCGCGGGAAUACGAAGGGGCUAGCGUUGUUCGGAAUUAUUGGGCGUAAAGGGUGCGUAGGCGGUUUGAUAAGUCAUCUGUGAAAUCUCUGGGCUCAACCCAGAGUCUGCAGGCGAAACUGUCGGGCUUGAGUAUGGGAGAGGUGAGUGGAAUUUCCGGUGUAGCGGUGAAAUGCGUAGAUAUCGGAAGGAACACCUGUGGCGAAAGCGGCUCACUGGACCAUAACUGACGCUGAUGCACGAAAGCUAGGGGAGCAAACAGGAUUAGAUACCCCCGUAGUCCCUGUCUCUUAUACA